rnacentral:rRNA from 1 species
AGAGUUUGAUUCUGGCUCAGAACGAACGCUGGCAGCGUGGAUUAGGCAUGCAAGUCGAACGAGAAGCCCUGGUCUCAAUCUUCGGAGAGAAACCAGGGUGGACAGUGGCGGAAGGGUGAGUACGCGUGGGCAAUUUGCCUCCGGAUUGGGGACAACUCCGCGAAAGCGGGGCUAAUACCGAAUAUGGUCUCCUGUCGCAUGACGGGAAGAUUAAAGAUGGGGAUUCUUCGGAACCUGUCGUCUGGAGAGGAGCCCGCGUACGAUCAGCUUGUUGGUGAGGUAACGGCUCACCAAGGCUUUGACCGUUAGCCGGCCUGAGAGGGUGAUCGGCCACACUGGGACUGAGACACUGCCCAGACUCCUACGGGAGGCUGCAGUCGAGGAUCAUUCGCAAUGCGCGAAAGCGUGACGAUGCGACGCUGCGUGUAGGAUGACGGCCUUCGGGUUGUAAACUACUGUCAUGAGGGAAAAACCAGCGAUGGGACAAUACCCCAUCGCUCUGAUGGUACCUCAAGAGGAAGCCACGGCUAACUCUGUGCCAGCAGCCGCGGUAAUACAGAGGUGGCUAGCGUUGUUCGGAUUUACUGGGCGUAAAGCGUGCGUAGGCGGUUCCGUGUGUCGGGUGUGAAAUCCCACGGCUUACCCGUGGAAUGGCACCCGAAACUGCGGGGCUAGAGUGCAGGAGGGGAGAGCGGAAUUCUUAGUGUAGCGGUGAAAUGCGUUGAUAUUAAGAAGAACACCGGCGGCGAAGGCGGCUCUCUGGAAUGUAACUGACGCUGAGGCACGAAAGUUGGGGGAGCAAACAGGAUUAGAUACCCUGGUAGUCCCAACCGUAAACGGUGUGAACUUGGUGUAGGGGGUAUUGACCCCCCCUGUGCCGGAGCUAACGCGUUAAGUUCACCGCCUGGGGAGUACGGCCGCAAGGCUAAAACUCAAAGAAAUUGACGGGGGCCCGCACAAGCGGAGGAGCAUGUGGCUUAAUUCGAUGCAACGCGAAGAACCUUACCUGGGCUUGACAUGGGGACCCUUCGGGGGUGGUAGCGAAAGUUACCUUUACCAUCACAGGUGCUGCAUGGCUGUCGUCAGUUCGUGCCGUGAGGUGUUUGGUUAAGUCCAGCAACGAACGCAACCCUUGUGACUAGUUACCAGCGUCGGUGAUGAGCCGGCAGGCACUCUAGUCAGACUGCCCGUACAAGCGGGAGGAAGGUGGGGAUGACGUCAAGUCAGUAUGGCCCUUACGCCCAGGGCUGCACACGUGCUACAAUGGUCAGUACAGAAGGAUGCAAAACCGCAAGGUCGAGCAAAUCCCCAAAGCUGGCCCCAGUUCGGAUUGGAGUCUGCAACUCGACUCCAUGAAGUCGGAUUCGCUAGUAACGGCGUAUCAGCUACGACGCCGUGAAUACGUUCCCGGGCCUUGUACACACCGCCCGUCACAUCAUGAAAGCCGUCUGCACCCGAAGUCGCUGAGCCAACCCGCAAGGGAGGCAAGUGCCGAAGGUGUGGGUGGUGAUUGGGAUGAU